rnacentral:lncRNA from 1 species
GGACUCUUGUCACCCUAGAUGCUCCUAUCUGCAUAACAAGACAGCUGCUUUCUUUUGUCAGUUUAAUUUCCUGGGUCCCAGUUGGAAAACCUAGGAUGGAGGAGGGAAAAAUCUUCAACACCUAGAGUUUUGGCAACCGCUGUGCGACAGCUGGGACACCCCACUUGCUCCAGAGGCUGAAGUGGAAAUCUGGUACCCCUGGCAAAAGCCUCCUCCACCCUGAACUUCUGUCCAAAGCAACAGAACCAAGUGACCAUGGACUAAAACCUGAAACUGUGAGCAAUUUGUUUAUCUCAGGUGUUUUAUUACAACAAUGGAAAGCUGACUUCCAUAGGUUUAUUUCUGCUUCGGUUCUACAAUUAUGUGAGCUUCCAUAUUUGACUUUUAAAUCUUUACUGUCACUUUGGUUAAAUAAAUAAGUAUUGUUUCAUCGUGACCCAUUAUCCCAUUUAAUUAAGUGUUCAAACUUAUGAAAUUGUUUGCCAAGCGUUCCCAAAUGAAAUUCUGAAGACUUUUUUACUCAGGACUUUGCGCUUGCGAGGCAGGUGGCAGCACCACUGAGCUAAAUCCCAGGCCCUUCUGAAGACUUUUUUUACCUUGAACUUGGAGAUUCCCCAGAGGGACCCUGGAAAAUGUCAAAGGAUUUGUUCUCUCACCUUGAAAAGGGGAGAUGUUAAACUAAUUAAGUUUCUUUGAGAUGCUAAAUUACAGAGGACACAUUGUCAACUAAAAAGAGAUUCUUAGCCUUCUUUAUAUUUGUAUUGUCAUAUGUAAUUAAUAUAAAUAUUUCAG